GAUGAACGCUGGCGGCGUGCCUAAUACAUGCAAGUCGAGCGAACAGACGAGGAGCUUGCUCCUCUGACGUUAGCGGCGGACGGGUGAGUAACACGUGGAUAACCUACCUAUAAGACUGGGAUAACUUCGGGAAACCGGAGCUAAUACCGGAUAAUAUAUUGAACCGCAUGGUUCAAUAGUGAAAGACGGUUUUGCUGUCACUUAUAGAUGGAUCCGCGCCGCAUUAGCUAGUUGGUAAGGUAACGGCUUACCAAGGCAACGAUGCGUAGCCGACCUGAGAGGGUGAUCGGCCACACUGGAACUGAGACACGGUCCAGACUCCUACGGGAGGCAGCAGUAGGGAAUCUUCCGCAAUGGGAGAACGCCUGAAGGAGCAACGCGGCGGGAGUGAUGAAGGUCUUCGGCUCGUAAAACUCUGUUAUUAGGGAAGAACAAAUGUGUAAGUAACUAUGCACGUCUUGACGGUACCUAAUCAGAAAGCCACGGCUAACUACGUG
rnacentral:rRNA from 1 species